rnacentral:rRNA from 1 species
GCUUACGGCCAUAUCACGUUGAAAGCACCGGUUCUUGUCCGAUCACCGAAGUUAAGCAACAUCGAGCCUAGUUAGUACUUAGAUGGGUGACCGCUUGGGAAACCUAGGUGCUGUAAGCA